rnacentral:lncRNA from 1 species
GGAAGAUGACUACACCGAUAUCCACUCAUCCGACGACGAAGACACGGUGUACGAUCAGAGUACUCGUACUGGAAGGCAGGUGGAGGCAGGACCAAUCCUGGAUAGGAUGGUAAGACAAUUGCUUCACUUUUCUAUGUUCUAUGUUAAGUUACUUAGAGAUUUAGUUAGUUAGACAAGGACUUAGUGACCAUCUAACUUAAUCAUUUAGUCAUUUAGAAACUUAGUGUGUAAGUAAGUUAAUGACUUAAUCAUUUAUUGCUUUAG